GUUUUAAUAAUUUAAUAAAAAUAUUGGUCUUGUAAACCAAAAAUAAGGAAAGCCUUUUAAAACU
rnacentral:tRNA from 2 species